CUGAACUGCCAUGCAACACCCGGACAUUGUGUGCAACAGCGUGUCUGGGCAUCACGUCCAACAUCCAGGUGUCACGCACGAUGUGACAUCAUGCACAAUGCCUGAAAGUAAUGUUAUGACAUCACACACAACCUUAGCUCCCUCAAUUGCUUUCCUGAGUUGGCAGACCUGUAGCAGGACCUUUGAUCUGAUCUAGCAGGCUGUGAUCAAGCAAGUGGCUCUCAUUUCAGUUCUGGUCUAUGAAUAGAAUUGUUGGGGCUCCUCUGUAUCCUCUGUGGUGAGAACUGCAGGGCCUGCUCCCUUCCAAGGCCUUUUCCACAGCUGGCCCAGGGGGCGGGGUCCAGGCCCUCACACUCCCAGCUACAAAAGGACUCCUGUGGCAGUGAGGACUUGGACCAUCGGCUAUGGUGAGGAUUGCAGGGCCUGCUCCCUUGCAAGGCCUUUUCCAGCUGGCCCAGGGGGCGAGGCCCAGACCCUCACAUUCCCAGCUACAAAAAGACUCCUGUGGCAGUGCCUAGAGAAUGGGGCUGGACUCAUUUGGAACAAACUCUUGGGGAAGUGUGGGGUUGUUCUGCUAUUGCUUCCCUGCUCCAAGUGUCUAAUGUGUUUUAAAAUGUCCUUAAGCAGUCGGUGGCAUUUUAAGCUUUUCCUUCUCUCCCUCCCCCCUUUUUGCUUUGUUGAGGGGUGGGAGGGUGGGAUGGAUAUCUGGUUGGGGAUUAAUUUUAGUAUAACUGUUCUGUUUUUGUUUUUUGUUGUUUUAUUGGUUGUUGUAUAGUUUGCAUUUUGUUUUUAAGGGGCGGGAUCAGGGCUGCCUGGGAGUGGGCCCCAGCCAACAGAAUGGCUGGGGCAAGUUCGACAGGGGGGGAUGCACUGGGACAUCCGAUUUCAGUGAUCAUGGGCAGGAGAAGGAAUUACACUAAGACCAGAUCAUGUCAUUACUGAGGAGGCAGGCUUAGUCAUUGUUUGAAGACUAUCCCUGCCUUCGGGUCCGGUCUUGACCGGAUGGAUACUGGAAUCAACAAGGGAAACCCACAUGACCUGAAGGUGUUGCUGUACAAUGCCAGGAGGAUGGAGGAUUUGACCUGGCAUGUGUAACUUGGUUGGAUGAAGCAGAUGGUCCUGUCCUUGCCGCUGCUUGUCCACCAGGUUUCUCUUAUGCACAGCAACCCAGGUAAUGUGGGCAGGGAGGGGGGUUGCAGUGAUUUUUAGGAGGUCACUAGCUUGCAUCAGGCAUCCUGCUAGGAAGACCCAAUUCUCUGAGUGCAUGUUCUGGAAGUUGGGCAAUAGGGGCAGUACAGGAUUCCUUUUGGUGUACCGACCUCCCCGCUGCACCAAGGAUUCCCUGCUCGAGCUGCUUCAGGUCAUUGCGGAUGUUCUCCUGGAGACACCUAGUUUGGUUGUCCUAGGGGAUUUUAACAUCCACGCUGACACGACCUUACAAGGGGCCGCUCGGGACUUCGUGGAAAGCAUGGCCUCUAUGGGGCUGUCCCUGAAUAAGUUUGGCCCAACUCAUAGUCACAGGCAUGCCUUAGACCUGUGUUCACCUCUAGUGAUGUGGGUGAUCUGACACUAAGUAAAAGUGAAACAAAGAAGUGCCAUGGUCAGAUCACUUCCUGGUGCAACAGGACUUCUCCACGACCCUUCCCCUCUGCAGGGAGGUGGGGCCAAUUCGGAUGGUCCGCCCCCACCACUUAAUGGAUCCAAAUGGUUUCCAGAGAGUGGUGGGGAUGCUUUAUCCCAUGUUGAUGGCCUUUCAGCUGAUUCCCUGGUGGCUCGCUGGAAUGUGGAGUUAACCAGGGCUAUCGACUGUUUGGCUCCGAAGCGCCCUCUUUGAUUGCAUGGAGCCCAGAUAGCCCCAUGGUUUUCUUCAGAGCUGAGGGCAAGGAAACAAUCGCUGAGAUGGCUGGAGCGCCAGUGGCAGAAAACUCAUUCUGAAUCAGACUGGACACAGGUUAGAGCUUAACGUCGAGCCUACCAAGUGGCAAUAGUGACGGCAAAAAAGACUUUCUUCACCGCCUCUAUUGCAUCUACUUUGGCUCCCAGUACGUUUCCGAGCACAAUUCAAAGUAUUGGUGUUGACCUUUAAAGCCCUAAACGGCUUCGGCCCAGUAUACCUGAAGGAGCGUCUCCACCCCCAUCGUUCAGCCUGGACACUGAGGUCCAGCGCCAAGGGCCUUCUGGCGGUUUCCUCACUGCGAGAAGCAAAGCUAUAGGGAACCAGGCAGAGGGCCUUCUCGGUAGUGGCGCCCACCCUGUGGAACGCCCUCCCAUCAGAUGUCAAAGAGAUAAACAACUACCUGACAUUUAGAAGACAUCUGAAGGCAGCCCUGUUUAGGGAUGUUUUUAAUGUGUGACAUUUUAAUGUAUUUUUAAUCUUUAUUGGAAGCCACCCAGAGUAGUUGGGGAACCCCAGCCAGAUGGGCAGGGUACAAAUAAAUUAUUAUUAUUAUUAUUAUUAUUAUUAUUAUUAUUAUUAACAAAGUAGCAAAUUCCAAGGGAUUCCAAGCAAAUUCCAAUUUCUGAUGUGUUAUACGGCUAUCAACAGGCUUCUAAAUUUUCCCACCAAGUCAUGUAUUGUUUUCAGAUAAUGCAAUGAACCACUGGGUGUAUUAAUUUAUAUACUGUCACAAAAACAUGGUUCUGUGAAUAGAGCUAUGCAUUAAACCAAAAGGCUUCCCUGCAUUACAGCUUCCAGAGCUCAAACUUGCAUGCUGUUCCUUUGUAAAGUUUCUACCGUGUUUGAAUCUAAGCCACAACACUUUAAUAUAUUGUUAAAUUAUUAUUUUGAUGGAGGGGGGUAACAGUAGGCUAUUAUUAUUACUACCAUUGUCAUCAUUUUGUAUAGAAGCUAAAACAAAACAAAACAAAACAAAACAAAACAAAACAUAACUGAGUAACAAACACCAAAAGAGAAAGAGAAAGAUGUCCAGGACUAGAAACGAGAAUGGGAUUUCUACCUUUUUAAGCAUUUGAAUAGCAUUUUAUUAGAUACCUCAAAAUGAUUAUAACACGAUUCACGCGCAGAAAUACACUAAUAUAGAAUUAUUGGGUAUGUGAUUGUUUUGUGUACCAGCAAUCACUGACAAAAGCAGAAGGGAAAAGCUGAAGGAGAGCUUAAGGAUAGAGCAAUUCAACCAAAAACUCAUCAUGUUUCUAGUUUAAAAAUAUAUUCACCACCGAGUCUGUGAUAAAUUGAACUGUGCUGCUCUAUUCCAAAACACAGCAUGUUUGUAGUAAGAGCCAUAAAAUAAUACAAAAGCAGUCCUGAAUGUGAGUACGGUUUACAUGCGAAGAGUUAAUAAAUUGUUAAAUUUCUUACUUAGAUUCUGACCUAUACUUGCAAAGUAUUUUUAAAAGGCACCAUAAAAGAAAUGCCAUAAAAUCCAUAAUGCCACAGAAAUCCUAAGUCCACAGUCUGUCUCUUUAGCAGUUUUAGAGGCAUUAAGGAUGAAGAAGAAAGUCAAAGGGAUUGGUCUGCGAUAUAGAAGUCAAAUGAGUGGAAAAUUCCCUCAACCAUGGCUUUCGUUCAGAAAUGGGAGCAGUAUUUUGUUCAACCAUGAAGUAUCAUGGGGAUUAUCUCUUUGAAUGUUGUCGACUUUUUUUUUUUUUUUUUUUUGAACGGGGUUCUAUACUGCAGUGCAGUUUGCCAUAAUUAUUUUUUUGGGUAAGCCAUGGGGAGAUGAGAUGUGACUCAGAUAAUGCUAUUGUUUUAGUCCAAAGGGGAUUCUUGAUUAUAAAAGUGGCCUGAUAGUGGGUGAAAUGGAACAUUCACUUAUUUAUAAAGCAGUUUGUUUGUUUGUUUGUUUGCUUGCUUGCUUGCUUGCUUGCUUGCUUGCUAAAGCUUUUAUGUCUGAACUUCAUAUAGUUCUGAUCCUCUUGGGUUUCUAACACAGGCAGCAAAGCAAGCAUUAAGUUUUCAUACUAUAAUAUAAAACUUUGAUCAUUAAGACUGAACAUAGCUUUAAAGGUGUUAUCUCAGCUUUAAUAACUUACUCACGUCCUUGUCAUUUAAGCAUUUUUUAGUUUGGGCAUAUAUAUUCUAGCACCAAAUUACAACCAAUAAACUAUGAAAAGAAGUACCAAAUUGAAAAAAAAGUGUUUGAUUUAACAUUCAACAAAGACAAACCAUUAUAUGGGUAGUAUCAUUUUGGUUAUUAUAAUAAAGGCUGAGAAAAAUAGAAUGAACUAGGACUGCGGGGAAGGAAGCAAUAGUCCCUGAGUGAAACUAUCCUCUGCUUUUUAGCAAUUCUAAUAGAAAACAGUAUAUUUUGCCUUUCUUGCCAGGCAUAGAAUAUAGGUCAAUCCAGACGAUACAGGAAAUGUGUUUGAAUUUCUUAAGGAAAAAUGGCAGCGGCGAGGUGGGGCUCCAUUUCAAACAAUGCCAUGGCAUGAAGAAGAGGCUUCUUCUCCAUAUGCCAUUUUUUCUAAUGAAAAUGUUGUCCCUCAGAAGUGCUUCUUUCACCUUCACUGGCAUUAAGAUUAUGGUCUCUCUAUGGGUCACCAGUCAGUGUUCAGUGAGCUAGGCACAAUGGCAAAAUGGUUUCUCUGAAUAGGGAGUUUAACUACAGACUACAUGAAUAUCCCAUAUUUUGAUAAUAAAGCAACAAUAUCUAAAUGUAAUGGAGAUUUUGAGCAGUAUGGCAACUCCUCACUUAUCAUAUUUAAGAAGGAUAUCAAUGUUCAGGAAAAAUAUGACUGCUCAAUCAAAUAAGGAUAUGUAUUAUACAGAUUGUACUGCAUUCUGCACGUCUUAAAUAUAUUGCAUCAUCAAAAUUCAUUUGCCUAUAUGUUAUGCAACUAGAAGAAUGAUAUAUUUCCUACUGUGAUAUAUUCCCUACUAGGACUGUAUUCCUACUUGGACUACUGCAAUGCACUCUGCAUAGGGCUAUUUUUGAAGAUGACUUAAUUAAUCCAGAAUGUGGCUGCUAGACUGAUGACUGGGAGCAGUUGCCAGGACCACAUAACACCAGAGCUAAAAGGUUUAUAUGGGCUCCCAGUACAUUUCCAAGCACAAUUCAAUUGUUGGUGUUGAACUUUAAAUCCCUACAUGGCUUCUGCCCAGUAUACCUGAAGGACCAUCUCCACCCCCUUGAGGUCCAGCUCCAAGGACCAUCUGGUGCAGGCAUCCCCAACCUAGGGUGUUUUGGCCUACAACUCCCAUGAUCCCUAGCUAACAGGACCAGUGGUCAGGGAUGAUGGGAAUUCUGUCCAAAACAUCUGGAGGGCUGAAGGUUGGGGUGCCUGUUCUGGUGGUUCCCUCACUGUGAGAAGUGAAACUACAGGGAACCAGACAGAAGGUAUUUUCAGUAGUUGCACCCACCCUGUGGAAAGCCCACCCAGCAGAUAUCAACCACUGGUUCUUAACCCCAGUCCUACUAACUCAUAUUCUUAGAUCUGGUUCCCCCUUAUGCUUGCAGAAUUGUAAGGUAUGAGGAACAUAUUGGCGUAUGUGGUGGAGAUGUAAUUACAUAAGUUUUGGAAGCAGGUUGUAAUGGAGAUUGGUUUUAUUGCUGGCAAACAGGUCACUUUGGACACUAAGCUAUGUCUCAUCCAUUUUUGAUGAUACCAUUGCUGACUUUACUUCUCAACAAUUAAUUCUAUAUCUAUAGUUGCCGCUUGUCUAGAGAUCUCUCAAGGGUGGAAGGAUACAUAUUGUUAUUCUAGGGAUCUAUGGUUUUAAAAAGUCAUGUUCAUACUGUUUCUAAAAAAACUGAUUCAUAAAAUAGCAGGGGUGAUGCGUAAUUCUCUGACUUUGCUUCCGCUUGGGCUCAGUUUAUGAUUUAUAUGACCAAACUAUCUCAUGGUCAACACAUUCCCAUUAAAUUUGAGUUUAUUUCGCAACAUUCAUGAAUAUUUGGUAUGUUUAGUACAUAUAUGAGCCUUGCAUUCCAUUGUGGAAUAUAUUUUAUAUGUGGAAUAUAUUUUAUAUAUAUUCAGUCUUUUAAAGCUUUCUAUUAUUACUGUGAUUAUUAUUUGUUGUUAUGACUGUUUUUGAGAAUAGAUCAUGUAAACCUAAAAAAAAACAUCGGCUUGCUGCUACUAUCAAACCUUUGGAACUUUCCAUAUCACAUGCCCAUACUAGCAUAUAAUGAAGUCAAGUUAAAACGACAUUUGAAAGGAUGAAUUUGCUGUUUUUAUUCUUCAAACCAUAGGCUUUUGAAUAACUUUUCCAGUAUUCUCAUGGAUAUGAUAUGUUUGAAAUUUAUUGUAACAGAAGCCUUAUAAUCAAUGUGGAAAGGUUUAUGCCUUGAGAAAACUAAGGCUUAUUUAAAGAGAGGGCUCAUACCAAAAUCACAGAGCAGUAAUUGGAAUUGAACUCUGAUGGCCUCGGAAUCAGACAGAGGCACUGAGGCAGCUGCAUUUUUCCUUAUAAGUAGACCCAUAAUAUAACCAACACCAAUUGUUUAUUAGUAGAUGAAGGUGAGAAUAAUGAGCCUUUAAGAACACUAAGGAGUCUUUGGAAAGCUAGAACCUCAAGUUUGAAGAGGUGGCAGGAAAUAAGCUGGGACAUAAGAAAUCCCUGAUGAGUAAAAUGGAAAGCCCAUCAGUAUUUUGCUCAAUAGUCUCAUCAUUUGCAGAGAUGCAUAGUGAAUAUUUCGAAAAUGUUAUAAAUUUUACACAACUGCCCUCCCUUCUUAAUUCAGAAACAAUAUAUGUAAUUUUAGGCUGGAUCUAGACACAUCAAAGAAGCAUUUCAGAAAAAUGCAUUGUAACCUUUAUAAUGAGAAAUCGUGUGGAGAAAAAUGGAACUCCACAAUGCCAUCUGGUGUCACCGUGUUAUAUCACAUAUAAAACGCUUUUUCUUUACCAGUGUAACUGAGUCCUUAGUUCCCAACCCCCACACACAAACACAGUUUUUAUUACUCUUUCCACAUUUAAAGUCCAGAAUACAUACUGAAACUUUGCCCACAAAAAAGAUAAAGUCUACAUUUAAAAUGCUACUUAAUUAUUUAUCUGUUUUAAUGGAAGUUUUUGGUCACUAGAUUCUCUGGGGGGGGGGGUGGCGGACGAAUAACUCAUCUUCAAAAUUUCUAUGCAUGAGAAUAUUGGCUUGCAUCCAUUUUUAAACAAAAUUUGUCUGGGUUGAACAGCAUUCCAUUUGAUCAUAAACAUACCUUGGAACUCCUACCUAAAUAGUUAUGAAUGACCAUCAAGGGAGUGUGUGCAGGGUGGCAUUGGACUCCUGGCUUCCCAAUGCUGCUUGUUGCUGUCAGUUAAGGAGAAAGGGAAGCAGUGGGAGCUUGGUACUGUGCAGAGGCAGUGUCAGGAGCACAGGAUUGGUUGCACCUGCACAAUGCCAGGUUCCCCACUGCUUUGCCCCUCCCCUUCUCCCCCUUUGUAAUCAGUAGCUGCUAUAAGAUACAGUAGUGUAUAGCAGAGCUUUAGAAGCCUGGAUUUCAUUCUGCACAUUAUAAUUUUUUUAGGCAUUUUAAGGGAAAGGGCAGGGCGUGGGUGGCGCUGUGGUAUAAACCACUGAGCCUAGAGCUUGCUGAUCAGAAGGUCGGUGGUUCAAAUCCCUGCGACGGGGUGAGCUCCCAUUGCUUGGUCCCAGCUCCUGCCAACCUAGCAGCUCGAAAGCACAUCAAAAUGCAAGUAGAUAAAUAGGUACCACUCUGGCGGGAAGGUAAAUGGCGUUUCCGUGAGCUGCUCUGGUUUCACCAGAAGUGGCUUAGUUAUGCUGGCCACAUGACCUGGAAAAACUGUCUGUGGACAAACGCCCGCUCCCUUGGCCAGUAAAGCGAGAUGAGAGCAGCAACCCCAGAGUCGUUCGCGACUCGACUUAAAUGUCAGGGGUCCUUUACCUUUAAGGGAAAGGGGUGCUUUGUUGACUUUGCAGUUUAGACAUAAUUGUGUGAAGGAUCACUUUAGACCCAGUUUAGUUAUAAGCAUUCCCUGUCUAGAGCUGGUGCCUCUCUAGAGUUAGUCAAGGCAUGAACAUCUUUUGGAAGGAAUAGAUAAGAUCAUGUUGACAACAAAUUAGAUUUCCUUGGGUAAUUUCCAACUCUGUAACACUCAGAGCAAACCCACUGAAAUCAAUGAACUUGACCAUUGUUUCCAAAGAGUCCACUCUGAUAUGACUGACAUUGAAGAAAACCUACUGGAAAGAUUAUGGGAUAUGGAGUGAAGUGCCCCCAAACUUUUGGCCAUUCUUGUGACAUUGGCAAAGGGCAGAAAUAUCAACCUAGGGAAGGAAUAGGAACCUAGGAAGCUGCCUUAUAGCAUUGCUUCGUACAGUUCAAUAUUGUACACUAACUGGCAGAAAUUCUCAGUGUUUUUGGACUAGUGUCCAUCCUGCAUAUACUGGACAUUGAAUUUGGGACUUUCUGCAUGCAGAGAAGAUGCUCUCCCCAAUGAGAUGGCCCUCCCCUAAAUCCCAUCACGAUUAGUUUCUAGUUUUGUUUUUCAUACCAACCGAUUACUCAACUGUGGGGGUUUUUUAGAACUAGGGAGUUGAAAUGCAAUUCUAUGGCGUCAAGUGAGUGAAAACAUUUAAUGGGUAACUGUACUAUCCAGGCAAUCUCAUAUGUGCUAGUCAGACUGCAAUUGGGGCAGCUUAUGUGAUCUAUAUGUAGCAGUCCUUGUUUGUUUCUUUUUUAAAUAGUACAGUAUAAGAUGCUUUUAGGCAUCUACUUAAGGUAUAUUAUAAUGGAGAAUCUCUAGGUAUAUUAGAUAUAUAGAUGUAAAUUCAAUUCAAGUUAUAUGGAAGCAAAGGUCAAAUCAGAUUAGUGAAUAAAUAUAACAAGUAAAACUGAAAUUGCAAACAAGAAGAAAAAGUGAAAUUUGUUGAACACAUUAUUAUCCUGUGAAGUCACAUCCAUCUUUGUUUUCUGGAAAUCUGAUUUGUUGGAGCUCUUACUGAAGAUUUUAUCAGUCUAAGUGAAAUUUGGAGAGGGUUUGCCCAUUUGUUUAUCUGUCACUGUUACUGUUCCAUGCUAUCCCUUCUCUAACCCCAUAUCUCUUAAGAUAAUCAAUCAACCUAGUCAUUUGAAGCCUGAUGCUGCAAAGACUCUCCUCAAGAUGGCAGCAACAGUCUGCAACCAGUAUAUCAGCUAUAGAACCAAGAAUUCAUGCUGCCUUUUCCUCUUGUGAGCUUGGUGUCUCACCUCAUUGGCAUGCCCAGCCUUUGCUUGAUUACAGAAUUAUACUAACAUCUGGAAUAUGGCAACUAAUUCAUACACCAGGCCAAGAAGAUGUCCCAUAUGAUCACCACCUUCAAAAAUGCCAUCCAGAGUGAAGCU